rnacentral:rRNA from 1 species
UACGUAGGGACCAAGCGUUGUUCGGAUUUACUGGGCGUAAAGGGCGCGUAGGCGGCCUGCUAAGUCGAACGUGAAAUCCCUGGGCUCAACCCAGGAACUGCGUCCGAUACUGGUUGGCUUGAAUCCGGGAGAGGGAUGUGGAAUUCCAGGUGUAGCGGUGAAAUGCGUAGAUAUCUGGAGGAACACCGGUGGCGAAGGCGGCAUCCUGGACCGAUAUUGACGCUGAUGCGCGAAAGCGUGGGGAGCAAACAGG